UACGGAGAGUGCGAGCGUUGUCCGGAAUCAUUGGGCGUAAAGGGCGCGUAGGUGGCCCGGUCAGUUCGUGGUGAAAGCGCGGGGCUCAACCCUGCGUCGGCCAUGAAUACUGCCGCGGCUGGAGCACUGUAGAGGCAGGCGGAAUUCCGGGUGUAGCGGUGGAAUGCGUAGAGAUCCGGAAGAACACCGGUGGCGAAGGCGGCCUGCUGGGCAGUUAGCUGACACUGAGGCGCGACAGCGUGGGGAGCAAACAGG
rnacentral:rRNA from 1 species